UAUCUCUAAUUGAGCGACAAUCUUUGGCCC
rnacentral:piRNA from 1 species